rnacentral:rRNA from 1 species
GAUAAACGCUGGCGGCGUGCCUAAUACAUGCAAGUCGAGCGAACGGACGAGAAGCUUGCUUCUCUGAUGUUAGCGGCGGACGGGUGUGUAACACGUGGAUAACCUACCUAUAAGACUGGGAUAACUUCGGGAAACCGGAGCUAAUACCGGAUAAUAUUUUGAACCGCAUGGUUCAAAAGUGAAAGACGGUCUUGCUGUCACUUAUAGAUGGAUCCGCGCUGCAUUAGCUAGUUGGUAAGGUAACGGCUUACCAAGGCAACGAUGCAUAGCCGACCUGAGAGGGUGAUCGGCCACACUGGAACUGAGACACGGUCCAGACUCCUACGGGAGGCAGCAGUAGGGAAUCUUCCGCAAUGGGCGAAAGCCUGACGGAGCAACGCCGCGUGAGUGAUGAAGGUCUUCGGAUCGUAAAACUCUGUUAUUAGGGAAGAACAUAUGUGUAAGUAACUGUGCACAUCUUGACGGUACCUAAUCAGAAAGCCGCGGCUAACUACGUGCCAGCAGCCGCGGUAAUACGUAGGUGGCAAGCGUUAUCCGGAAUUAUUGGGCGUAAAGCGCGCGUAGGCGGUUUUUUAAGUCUGAUGUGAAAGCCCACGGCUCAACCGUGGAGGGUCAUUGGAAACUGGAAAACUUGAGUGCAGAAGAGGAAAGUGGAAUUCCAUGUGUAGCGGUGAAAUGUGCAGAGAUAUGGAGGAACACCAGUGGCGAAGGCGACUUUCUGGUCUGUAACUGACGCUGAUGUGCGAAAGCGUGGGGAUCAAACAGGAUUAGAUACCCUGGUAGUCCACGCCGUAAACGAUGAGUGCUAAGUGUUAGGGGGUUUCCGCCCCUUAGUGCUGCAGCUAACGCAUUAAGCACUCCGCCUGGGGAGUACGACCGCAAGGUUGAAACUCAAAGGAAUUGACGGGGACCCGCACAAGCGGUGGAGCAUGUGGUUUAAUUCGAAGCAACGCGAAGAACCUUACCAAAUCUUGACAUCCUUUGACAACUCUAGAGAUAGAGCCUUCCCCUUCGGGGGACAAAGUGACAGGUGGUGCAUGGUUGUCGUCAGCUCGUGUCGUGAGAUGUUGGGUUAAGUCCCGCAACGAGCGCAACCCUUAAGCUUAGUUGCCAUCAUUAAGUUGGGCACUCUAAGUUGACUGCCGGUGACAAACCGGAGGAAGGUGGGGAUGACGUCAAAUCAUCAUGCCCCUUAUGAUUUGGGCUACACACGUGCUACAAUGGACAAUACAAAGGGCAGCGAAACCGCGAGGUCAAGCAAAUCCCAUAAAGUUGUUCUCAGUUCGGAUUGUAGUCUGCAACUCGACUACAUGAAGCUGGAAUCGCUAGUAAUCGUAGAUCAGCAUGCUACGGUGAAUACGUUCCCGGGUCU